rnacentral:lncRNA from 1 species
AAUUAAUCAUAUAUUACAUUCCUAAAGCUCGAAACCCAUUCAUGAUUAAGGGGGGAGGGAUUACCAUUAAUGGUGCUUGUAAACAGUGUAGGAAAAGGAGUUCCACUAGGACAAAAAGGCAAGAAAGACGGAAGACAAUUGAAAGGCGAAGCGAAAACGAUACGGCUGAAAGCUACGGAUUUGUGAUAGGCUAGUCCGAAAUGAAGCAACUGGUGAGGGGCCUUUAACUCGUCAAAUCAAUGAAGAGAUUUUU